rnacentral:rRNA from 1 species
UACGUAGGUGGCAAGCGUUGUCCGGAUUUACUGGGCGUAAAGGGCUCGUAGGCGGCCAACUAAGUCAGACGUGAAAUCCCCAGGCUCAACCUGGGAACUGCGUCUGAUACUGGUUGGCUUGAAUCCGGGAGAGGGAUGCAGAAUUCCAGGUGUAGCGGUGAAAUGCGUAGAUAUCUGGAGGAAUACCGGUGGCGAAGGCGGCAUCCUGGACCGGCAUUGACGCUGAGGAGCGAAAGCCAGGGGAGCAACGGG